AGAAUCAACGCUGGCGGCGUGCCUAACACAUGCAAGUCGAACGAGAAAGUGGAGCAAUCCAUGAGUAAAGUGGCGACCGGGUGAGUAACACGUGACUAACCUACCUUCGAGUGGGGGAUAACAUCGGGAAACCGAUGCUAAUACCGCAUAACAUCGCAAGAUCAAAGCAGCAAUGCGCUGGAAGAGGGGGUCGCGGCUGAUUAGCUAGUUGGCGGGGUAACGGCCCACCAAGGCGAAGAUCGGUAGCCGGCCUGAGAGGGCGCACGGCCACACUGGAACUGAAACACGGUCCAGACUCCUACGGAGGCAGCAGUGGGGAAUUUUGCGCAAUGGGGGAAACCCUGACGCAGCAACGCCGCGUGGAGGAUGAAGCCCCUUGGGGUGUAAACUCCUUUCGACCAAGACGAUAAUGACGGUACUGGUGGAAGAAGCACCGGCUAACUCUGCGCCAGCAGCCGC
rnacentral:rRNA from 1 species